rnacentral:tRNA from 1 species
UGGCUUGGGGUCAGAGCACUGGUCUUGUAAACCAUGGGUUGUGAUUUCAAAUUUCAC